rnacentral:tRNA from 1 species
GCGGACGUGGCGAAAUCGGUAGACGCAAGAGACUUAAAAUCUCUCGGGCUCACGCCCGUGCGGGUUCGAGCCCCGCCGUCCGCACCA